rnacentral:rRNA from 1 species
AAACGAUUGAAGUCAGUCGUACCGGCGGAUAAUCAGCCUUUCGAGUAUGAUUUUGUGGAGUGUGAGGAGUUUAACUGCCUUCAUACCUGCAUAUUCGUGCGCUUUGGGUGUACUUGUCCGUACGGUAGGUUAACAUCAAUUUUUGGCCGUUAUAAAAUGGCUAGAGGAAUGUAGCUUCGGUCUCGUACUGAAGUGUUAUAGCCUUUGGCAGAUGUGGUGAUCGGGACUGAGGAUUGCAACGGAUACCUUUUGGGCUACCCGCCUGAUCUCUGAAAGUUGCUCUGGUGCCGAAAGCUUGCUUACGGUUAUCAAAGUUGACGUUCAAAAGGUUAAAACGGGUUAAAUUCGUUAAGGAUGUUGACGUAAAGGGC